rnacentral:tRNA from 1 species
CCGGCGACCGCAGUGGCCUUGCGGCUGGCGGCCUUGACGCGGUGGCCUGCGGCCGUCAGCUGCGCGGCGGUGCGGCUGCCGGUGGUGCCGGU